CUUGACCUAGUGAUCCACCUACCUCGGUCUCCCAAAGUGUUGGGAUUACAGGCAUGAGCCACCGCACCCGGUCUUUCAUAUGCCUUUCUACAUCCACGCUCCUUAGCCCUUGUUUCCCAGGAUCAUCCUGAGGCCAUCACCUCUGGAGGGGACUCUGGCCUAGCUGUCCCUCUUGCAGAGCAGUGCCCAACCCCUUUCCUGCUGGGGCAGGGCCCAGGGCCUGCUGGGUCCACAGGCAUGCUGCCCAUCCAGGCUGCAGUGCCCUGGGGGCUCUGCCAAGGCUGCAGCCUGGCAUUCCCAGAACUCUGUCUGAAAGUCUGAUUUAGAUGGAGGGGUGCCCUGGCACACUCAUCCUCCGCCCCAGUGGCCUUUAAGCAACAUGAGCCUGUGGCUCUGACACUGGAAAGUGUUGUCUGCAUGUGGAUCUGUGAGGUGUGUGUGCAGUGGGGCAACUGACUAUUGCGGUUUCCUAAAUGAAAGAUGGAGCCCUACUUUGGGGCGCUUUAAUUAGCCUGUGUAUGGGAUGGAAAAAAUCAGCAAAGAUGCCCCCAGUGCUGGGUUGGCCUUGGAGGAGGAGGCAAGGACACAGGCACUCCAAGUCUCAGGCUAGCCUGAUUCUGCACUACAGGGGAGAGAGGGGCAGAUGCAGAAUGGGUGGGAUAGGACAGUGGGGAGCAUGUGGCUCAAGCCAGACCAGCCCGCUCAGCUCUUAGCUCUUUCCAGCCCUUACGCCCUAGCCUGGUGGUGGGAGUGAAAGAGGCUGAGGGGGUGUCUCCAUCUACAGAGAGAUUUUGUCUAUGUCAAUAUUGCUGGAGGGUCAUGGUCCAGGCCUUUGGCAACUGCUGGACUGAGCGAAUGCUGAGCUGACCAGCUUUUCUUUAGUGGCUCCCUAAGCGGAAGGUGCUCUGAAGCCAGCAGAAAGGAAGUGUCAUGCCUGGGAUAAUCCCCUCCCUUUUACUCCUCCGGUCAUGGGGCCAGAAAGUAAAUGACUUGUUUAAGGUCGCGGGUGGCUGAGAAGGACUAAUACUGCAGGUUUCUGACCUCCGAGGCGAGCUCUUGCCCAUGUUUGGGGCACCUUUCUGCGUGAGCUGAGGCAAGGUGCAGAGAGGAGCCUUGUCUACAGAGGCUGCCACUGUGCCAAUGGUGACCAGAGGCUGCACCUGCCCUGGAGAAUUCGCCAGAGCCAUCCACAAAGCAUCGCUCCUGUUUGCCAACACUGGAGAAGCCGCUUUUGUUCUGUAGAAGCUUUCUUUGGAUUGGGUUGUUUGUCUCUUUUGGAUAUAGCUUUGUAAAUAUCCUUAAACAUUU
rnacentral:lncRNA from 1 species